GACGAACGCUGGCGGCGUGCUUAACACAUGCAAGUCGAACGGUGAAGCGCCUUCCUUUUUGGUGGGUGUGGAUGAGUGGCGAACGGGUGAGUAACACGUGAGUAACCUGCCCCCUUCUUCUGGAUAACCGCAUGAAAGUGUGGCUAAUACGGGAUAUUCUGGGUCUGUCGCAUGAUGGGUCUGGGAAAGAUAUUGUUUCGGUGGGGGAUGGGCUCGCGGCCUAUCAGCUUGUUGGUGGGGUGAUGGCCUACCAAGGCGGUGACGGGUAGCCGGCCUGAGAGGGUGGACGGUCACACUGGGACUGAGACACGGACCAGACUCCUACGGGAGGCAGCAGUGGGGAAUAUUGCACAAUGGGAGCAAGCCUGAUGCAGCGACGCCGCGUGAGGGAUGGAGGCCUUCGGGUUGUGAACCUCUUUCGCCAGUGAAGCAGGCCUGCCUCGUUUGUGGGUGGGUUGACGGUAGCUGGAUAAGAAGCGCCGGCUAACUACGUG
rnacentral:rRNA from 1 species